GGUUAGGUCCGCGGUGGGAGCCGCGCCUCAGGCUCCGCCGCCAGCCGGGGCUCGGGCUGGGGCCCGGGCCCCCGGAAUGGCCCUCCGGCCCUCAAAGGGCGACGGCUCAGCCGGCCGCUGGGACCGCGGCACAGGGAAGGCAGACUUUAAUGCCAAAAGGAAAAAGAAGGUGGCGGAGAUACACCAGGCUCUGAACAGUGAUCCCGUCGAUGUGGCUGCCCUCCGACGAAUGGCUAUCAGUGAGGGAGGGCUCCUGACUGAUGAGAUCAGGUGCCAAGUGUGGCCUAAGCUCCUCAAUGUCAACACCAAUGAGCCACUGCCUGUGUCAAGGAGACAUGAGCAAGGACUACCAGCAAGUGCUGCUAGACGUCAGGCGGUCUCUUCGACGCUUUCCUCCUGGCAUGCCAGACGAGCAGAGAGAAGGGCUCCAGGAAGAGCUAAUCGAUAUCAUCCUCCUCAUCUUGGAUCGAAACCCUCAGCUCCACUACUACCAGGGCUACCAUGACAUUGUGGUCACUUUUCUGCUGGUGGUGGGCGAGAAGCUGGCAACAUCCCUGGUAGAAAAAUUGUCUACUCACCACCUCAGGGAUUUCAUGGAUCCCACAAUGGACAACACCAAGCACAUCCUAAAUUAUCUGAUGCCCAUUAUUGACCAAGUGAACCCAGAACUCCAUGACUUCAUGCAGAGAUCGUGCUGUACCGGGAGCAAGAAGUCCUGGACUGUGACUGUGACAUGGCUUCUGUCCACCACAUGUUGUCCCAGAUCCCUCAGGACCUGCCCUAUGAGACACUCAUCAGCAGAGCUGGAGACCUUUGUUCAAUUUCCCCCUUCUGAACUUGCAAGGGAAGCGGCUGCUCAGCAGGAGGCUGAGAGAACCGCAGGCAGCCUCUACUUUCAAAGACUGAGCUGGCAUCGACUCAGCAGAGGCCAGAUAUGGCCAGAUAUGCAGCGGUUUCGGGGACUUCUGAGGCCUGAGGCUCGAACAAAAGAUGUCCUGACCAAACCAAGGACCAACCGCUUUGUGAAACUGGCAGUGAUGGGGCUGACAGUAGCUCUUGGAGCAGCAGCACUAGCAGUGGUGAAGAGUGCCCUGGAGUGGGCCCCUAAGUUCCAGCUGCAGCUGUUUCCCUAAACUGAGCUCAAGCAGCCACUUCCUCACCCAGGGCACCAGGCUCUCCCCAUUUCCAGAAAGAGGGUGAAGUUGCUGUGAUUAAAGGGUUUCUGUCGGGGGUGUUCCAUCUGCCACCCUUGGCAGCUUGUC